GUGGAUGAUAGUACACCGUCCCGUCUAGUUGUGGUAUAUUGCAUGCAGUUAAAGCUUCUAAACCAGUUCUUUGCCAGAUAAAUCUGCCUGCUCUAUAUUGUACUAACUGGAAAUCUCUAAAGUUCAGAUUGAAGUCAAGGUAUCUAUGGCUGAUCCUGAUAAUCAAUUUUUGAAGCUGUUUUUGCUAUUGCGCAUAAUUGGUACAACUUUGGCAUCGCUCUGGAAGUUUGUGACUCUAAGUUGAAAGAGAUUAAAGAAGAUCAUGCCAAUACUGGAUGCAGGAAUUGUCUACGAGAGAUGUUGUCUCAUUGGCUGCGAAAUGGUCAAUCGACAACCUGGCAGGACAUUAUCCAAGCUCUCUGUUCCCGAACUGUAGGCCAGAGAAAAAUUGCUGAGGAAAUAGGAAAACCUCUAUGAAGAAAGGUUAGUAGAGAGUCAAAGUGUUACAAUAUACUUGUGGAGUUUUUAGAACUUUAUUAAAGUUUUCUGUACAUUUUUAGAAACAAGAGUAGGUUCAUUUGACAGCACUGUGUUGCACUGUCCUGUUGAUUAGUCCAAAUACAUGUUUAAGGACCAGUUGUAACAGUAAAUCAGUGCAGAAUCAUUGGUUGCUGUGUGGA